rnacentral:rRNA from 1 species
AACGAACGCUGGCGGCAUGCUUAACACAUGCAAGUCGAACGGGCAUAUGGGGCUUGCUUCAUAUGUUAGUGGCAGACGGGUGAGGAACGCGUGGGAACGUACCCUACAGUUCGGAAUAACUGUUGGAAACGACAGCUAAUACCGGAUGUGACCGAGAGGUUAAAGGUUUAACGCUUUGGGAGAGGCCAGCGUUAGAUUAGUUAGUUGGUGGUGUAAAGGCCUACCAAGGCGAUGAUCUAUAGAUGGUCUGCGAGAAAGACCAGCCACACUGAGGCUGAGACACGGCCCAGAAUCCUACGAGAGGCAGCAGUGGGGAAUAUUGGACAAUGGGGGCAACCCUGAUCCAGCAAUGCCGCGUGAAUGAAGAAGGCCUUAGGGUUGUAAAGUUCUGUUAUUGAUGAAGAUAAUGACGGUAAUCAAUGAAUAAGCACCGGCUAACUUCGUGCCAGCAGCCGCCGUAAGAC